CCUACGGGAGGCAGCAGUGGGGGAUAUUGCACAAUGGGGGGAACCCUGAUGCAGCGACGCCGCGUGUGGGAAGACGGUCCUCUGGAUUGUAAACCACUGUCCCCAGGGACGAAGAUGACGGUACCGGGGGAGGAAGCUCCGGCUAACUACGUGCCAGCAGCCGCGGUAAUACGUAGGGAGCGAGGGUUGUCCGGAAUUACUGGGUGUAAAGGGAGCGUAGGCGGGACUGCAAGUUGGGUGUCAAAUCUACCGGCUCAACCGGUAGCCGCACUCAAAACUGCAGUUCUUGAGUGAAGUAGAGGCAGGCGGAAUGCCUAGUGUAGCGGUGAAAUGCGUAGAUAUUAGGAGGAACACCAGUGGCGAAGGCGGCCUGCUGGGCUUUUACUGACGCUGAGGCUCGAAAGUGUGGGGAGCAAACAGGAUUAGAUACCCCUGUAGUC
rnacentral:rRNA from 1 species